GCUUGUCUCAAAGAUUAAGCCAUGCAUGUCUAAGUAUAAAUAAAUCAUACUGUGAAACUGCGAAUGGCUCAUUAUAUCAGUUAUAGUUUAUUUGAUAGUCCCUUACUACUUGGAUAACCGUAGUAACUCUAGAGCUAAUACAUGCGCAAAUUCCCGACUGCCGCAAGGCGGAAAGGAUGUAUUUAUUAGAUCCAACCAGCCCGGUUCGCCGGAGUCCCUGGUGAGUCAUAAUAACUGAGCGAAUCGCAUGGCCUUGCGCCGGCGAUGGUUCAUUCAAGUUUCUGCCCUAUCAACUGUCGACUGUGAUAUAGACGCUCACAGUGGUUUUGACGGGUAACGGGGAAUCAGGGUUCGAUUCCGGAGAGGGAGCCUUAAAAACGGCUACCACAUCCAAGGAAGGCAGCAGG
rnacentral:rRNA from 1 species